GGGCAGCAUGGUCUUAGCUUGCUAAGGCUGAUGGCGACCGGCGCACGGGUGAGUAACACGUAUCCAACCUGCCGUCUACUCUUGGCCAGCCUUCUGAAAGGAAGAUUAAUCCAGGAUGGCAUCAUGAGUUCACAUGUCCGCAUGAUUAAAGGUAUUUUCCGGUAGACGAUGGGGAUGCGUUCCAUUAGAUAGUAGGCGGGGUAACGGCCCACCUAGUCAACGAUGGAUAGGGGUUCUGAGAGGAAGGUCCCCCACAUUGGAACUGAGACACGGUCCAAACUCCUACGGGAGGCAGCAGUGAGGAAUAUUGGUCAAUGGGCGAUGGCCUGAACCAGCCAAGUAGCGUGAAGGAUGACUGCCCUAUGGGUUGUAAACUUCUUUUAUAAAGGAAUAAAGUCGGGUAUGCAUACCCGUUUGCAUGUACUUUAUGAAUAAGGAUCGGCUAACUCCGUGCCAGCAGCCGCGGUAAUACGGAGGAUCCGAGCGUUAUCCGGAUUUAUUGGGUUUAAAGGGAGCGUAGAUGGAUGUUUAAGUCAGUUGUGAAAGUUUGCGGCUCAACCGUAAAAUUGCAGUUGAUACUGGAUGUCUUGAGUGCAGUUGAGGCAGGCGGAAUUCGUGGUGUAGCGGUGAAAUGCUUAGAUAUCACGAAGAACUCCGAUUGCGAAGGCAGCCUGCUAAGCUGCAACUGACAUUGAGGCUCGAAAGUGUGGGUAUC
rnacentral:rRNA from 1 species